rnacentral:lncRNA from 1 species
UUUGUUUUUCCUUCUCGCGGCUGCUCACCCAAGCAGAGCCCCAUCUUCUUCUUUCUUUUCCCACAGCCGGUUCUCUCUCAGCCCCCAAUCAAUCUCAUUUUGCCCUUACAAAUCAACCUCACAGCCUCUCUCUUGGCUCCUCUGCCCUCAUUUCCUUCUUCCUCCCCUCUCAGCCGUUUCUUUCUCAACAGCCCCUCACCUCUCUCUCGGCCACAAACAAAACCGAACCGUCCCCCACCAGCCUGCCAUUUUUUCUUCUCAUCUUCCACAGCCACAGCCACAGCCACAGCCACAGCCAAUCAGCCUCCACACACGCACAUUUCCUUCCCCUUUUUCCGAUCUCCCCGUCAUCUCCCCCCGAAGCCAUUUCUCCUUCUCUCAGCCUCCACCGUAACCCACAACUGACCCCCACCUUAUUAUUAUUAUUUUUUCUUUCUUUCUUCUCCCCACACGGCGGCGCCCCCCGAUCCAGCGUUGUUUCCAACCGAAGCCGACGAUCAGCCAACACUUUUUCCUCCUCCAGCUCCGCCGGCCAGACACGACAGGAGCACAAUCGCCAACAGCUUUCCAGUCACCAGCAGCCGCUGAACCCAGAAGAAGAAAGGAGAAACGGGGCAGAUCAAGAAAAGAAAAAA